GAAUUGCUGGGUCACAAGAUAGGUUCAGCUUCAGGCUUUUAAAGGUUCCCAGGUGAGGCCAUGCAGCCCGUUCCCCAGGUGCGCCAAGGAAGUGACAAGACAGCUGUCCCAUGUGGCAGAGGCUGGCUCUGAGCCACACUGUGUCCUUCACAGGAGAUGUCAUAUCCUGCCACACAGCCCAGGAGCUGCACAUCAAGACCCUUCCUAAGGGCAAACUAGGGUCAUGGGAACAGAGUCAGGUUCAUCCUCAUGAACAGGCUGAAACUGGAGGACAAAAGGUCAACUUUGGACCAUAUCUCCAGGCUUCAGAUCAGCCACAGCCAGCCCGGGCGUGGAGCGUGGG
rnacentral:lncRNA from 1 species